rnacentral:rRNA from 1 species
UACGUAGGGUGCAAGCGUUAUCCGGAAUUAUUGGGCGUAAAGGGCUCGUAGGCGGUUUGUCGCGUCGGGAGUGAAAACCGGGUGCUUAACACCUGGCUUGCUUUCGAUACGGGCUGACUUGAGGGAUGCAGGGGAGAACGGAAUUCCUGGUGUAGCGGUGAAAUGCGCAGAUAUCAGGAGGAACACCGGUGGCGAAGGCGGUUCUCUGGGCAUUACCUGACGCUGAGGAGCGAAAGUGUGGGGAGCGAACAGG